rnacentral:rRNA from 1 species
UGAGGAAUAUUGGUCAAUGGACGCAAGUCUGAACCAGCCAUGCCGCGUGCAGGAUGACGGCUCUAUGAGUUGUAAACUGCUUUUGUACGAGGGUAAACGCAGAUACGUGUAUCUGUCUGAAAGUAUCGUACGAAUAAGGAUCGGCUAACUCCGUGCCAGCAGCCGCGGUAAUACGGAGGAUCCAAGCGUUAUCCGGAUUUAUUGGGUUUAAAGGGUGCGUAGGCGGUUUUAUAAGUUAGAGGUGAAAAAUUCGGGGCUGCAACAUCCGGGCAGCGUGGCCCUUCCUAAAUAACUGUAUGACUAGAGAUUAGAUGCGGUAGGCGGAAUGUAUGGUGUAGCGGUGAAAUGCGUAGAGAUCAUACAGAACACCGAUUGCGAAGGCAGCUUACCAAACUACAUCUGACGUUGAGGCACGAAAGCGUGGGAGCAAACAGGAUUAGAUACC